UACGUAGGUGGCAAGCGUUGUCCGGAUUUAUUGGGCGUAAAGAGCUCGUAGGCGGUCUGUCGCGUCGAUCGUGAAAACUUGGGGCUUAACCCUGAGCUUGCGGUCGAUACGGGCAUGACUGGAGUUCGGCAGGGGAGACUGGAAUUCCCGGUGUAGCGGUGAAAUGCGCAGAUAUCGGGAGGAACACCAAUGGCGAAGGCAGCUCGCUGGGACGGUACUGACGCUGAGACGCGAAAGCGUGGGGAGCAAACAGG
rnacentral:rRNA from 1 species